CCGCAUAAUCAAAAACUAUUGAUAAAACGAAACGAACGAAAAAGCGAUAAACUGUUAUUCAUUGCUUCGCUGUUGGACUUCCGCCCUCUACACUAACCGUCACCAUCGUCACCGUCAUUUCUGAUUGCCGGUUAGAAUCUUUGAGUGAAGAUUAUAUCAUCGUGAAAAUGCUAAUCGAGCAACUAUUAAGCGACGAACAUGUUCUUAAGUUUUGCCUUAAAGAGAUCGCAGCAUGCCGC